rnacentral:lncRNA from 1 species
UGGAAAAGUAGUAAAAACUUAUAUUAAGGGUUGUGACUUCAAAGACUUGAAGUCAUCUAGCAAUAACUAGACUACAUUUUCAAGCCUAGUGAAAGAAAAUGACUUGAUAUGUCUGGGAUGACUUCAUUUUAAGGUAACCCCUCAGUCUCAAAAUAUUCAUUUGACCCAUGGGCCAGCACAUCCCAGCCUCGGUCAAGCC